CCUACGCGUGGCAGCAGUGAGGAAUAUUGGUCAAUGGGCGGGAGCCUGAACCAGCCAAGUCGCGUGAGGGAAGACGGUCCUAUGGUUUGUAAACCUCUUUAGGCGGGGAGCCAUGCCGGGCACGCGUGCCCGGAGGGAGAGUACCCGCAGAAUAAGCAUCGGCUAACUCCGUGCCAGCCGCCGCGGUAAUACGGAGGAUGCGAGCGUUAUCCGGAUUUAUUGGGUUUAAAGGGUGCGUAGGCGGAUUUUUAAGUCAGCGGUAAAAUGUCCGGGCUCAACCCGGGCCGGCCGUUGAAACUGGGGAUCUUGAGUGGGCGAGAAGUAUGCGGAAUGCGUGGUGUAGCGGUGAAAUGCAUAGAUAGCACGCAGAACUCCGAUUGCGAAGGCAGCAUACCGGCGCCCGACUGACGCUGAGGCACGAAAGCGUGGGGAUCGAACAGGAUUAGAUACCCGAGUAGUC
rnacentral:rRNA from 1 species